rnacentral:ncRNA from 2 species
GGGCCCGGCCGUGACUGGCGAAGGUGGGACCGACCACCGGGGAGCGGCUGAAGUCCCCCUGCAGCGCACCGCCCGCCUGGGUGCCUGGG